ensembl:lncRNA
GAGGUCUUAGUGUGGUAAUAAGGCAAAGGCAAACCUUCCCACACUUUCGGUCUCAUCUGUGUAGGCGCUACCUUCCUGGUCAGGCUGAUUCCUUGGCCUGUUGGGUUCUGGGUGGUUCUGCAGUUUUGCAUAUGUGGCAUCUGCCUUAAUUUCUGUUACACAAGCACAGUGGUGGGCAUAGUCUAAUGGACUGGGGUGCAGAAAAAAAGAAGGUAGGUUAGUCUGUGUGGAAGAGUGGAUCUCUUCCCGCUGACUGCCUUAUUGCCUCUGGAAAUAUUCUCACUGCCUCUGCUGAAAAGGCUUCGCCUCUGUCCUUGCUUCUUUGCAUCACUUUGGAUGAGCCAAACUUGCAUUUUGGAUCCUUGACCUGGCUACAAGAAUACCAAGUAAACCAUGGAACUCCAGUCUUCUUUUCUGAAGAUUCAAGAGAAUGUUGAGCACCUUUUCAUGCACCUAUUGGACAUUUGUAUGUCUUUGGGAAAAUGCCA